rfam:Alphaproteobacteria bacterium 64-6 SCNpilot_expt_1000_bf_scaffold_7349, whole genome shotgun sequence.
GGGCAGUUAGCUCAGCGGUAGAGCACUACCUUGACAUGGUAGGGGUCACAGGUUCGAUCCCUGUACUGCCCA